ensembl:snoRNA SNORD29 Small nucleolar RNA SNORD29
UUUCUAUGAUGAGUCAAACUAGCUCACUAUGACUUAAACGAUGAAAAGACCUGAACACCUGAGAAAC